UAUCUCUGUAGAGUCUGCAUAUCAAUAAGCGGAGGAAAAGAGACUAACUAGGAUUCCCUCAGUAACGGCGAGUGAAGCGGGAAGAGCUCAAAUUUGAAAUCUUCAAGGUUCUACCUUGACGAAUUGUAGUUUAAAGAAGUGUUUUCUGUUGGUAGUUUUGGUAAAAGUUCUUUGGAAUAGGACAUCAUAGAGGGUGAGAAUCCCGUAUUUGACCAUUACUUCCAGCUUUGUGAUACACUUUCAAAGAGUCGGAUUGUUUGGGAAUGCAGUCCAAAAUGGGUGGUAAAUUUCAUCUAAAGCUAAAUAUUGGCGAGAGACCGAUAGCGAACAAGUACCGUGAGGGAAAGAUGAAAAGAACUUUGAAAAGAGAGUUAAACAGUACGUGAAAUUGUCAAAAGGGAAGCGUUUGACACCAGUGUUGUUUUCUCGAAAAUCAAUUAAAAAAGGCAGGAUUUUGUGUUGUAUUGACUUUAUCAGCUUUCUGCACUCUUUUCUUGUCUUUUUUAAUGCACUUUUCGUUUAACAAGUCAACAUCAAUUUCUUUUGUUGUAAAAGGGUCAUUGGAAGGUGGCUUUCUUUUCGGAGAAAGUGUUUAUAGCCUUUGGCCUCUGCAAUCGGAGAGAUUGAGGACUGCAGCGUAGAUCCUUCGGGGUUAGAUACAUUUGUGCUAAGUUAUAGCCUUUCAUAGACAACUUGUUGACUAUGAUCAGUCAUGUAGCUUACUCGCUUAUGCUAUUUUACCUACGCUUAGGAUGUUGACGAUCAGCUGAGCGCG
rnacentral:rRNA from 1 species